GGGAAGAAAGGGGAAAGAACUUUGGCACAACUGAACAUAAACUUUGGAUAACUGAAAAUAACUCAAAAUGUAUCAGAGUACGAACAUAUUACAAUAAACUGAGAAUAUCAUUAAUUCGGACUAACAAAACUGAAAAUGAAGUAGACGUUUGCGGAAGCGUCCAAGAGCGAAUGACAUCGUGUAUGGAGACACGAUGCAUCCAAAUACUAUUCUAUCGAAGGAUCUUUGUAGUCUCUGCCCAACAUCGCCCAUCGUCAUCACUGCUCAGCCUCCACAUUUUUAAAGCAUAUGCAGGGCUGAGUACUUGGUGUACUCAGUGGACACGUGCCGAAAUAUUUUACUAAAAAGAAACUGGUUUUGUCAAGCCAUUACUGAGUGAGCUCGGGGUUUUAUCUUAUAAGGCCCGAGGACACUAAAAGCAUUUUCUAAGUGAAAAUCUGUGAUUGUGGUUUAUUUUUCCUGGAACUAAUGCCAUAUCUGAAACUGUGUGAAUUGGGAAUGUAUGGGCUCAUCCCACUUACAGACCUGAAUUCGCUUAAACUUAACUGGUUUAGAGGGACGUGCCCUUGCUAGACAAACGGAUAGACAAAGUUCAAAACAAAACUUGGCAAGACAAAAUAUACUGCUAACUUGAAUAACUGAAAGCAUACACACUGAGAACGUAAAUAACUGAGAGCAAACAUACUUGAACGUAAAUAACUGAAAGCAUAUCAUAUCUUAAAUCAAAGGCCACAAUAAUAGUGUAGGUUAGAAAAAGCCCACAUAAUCAUAUAGGAUAGAAAGCCCACAAAAUACUUUUCAUAAAACUGUACUUUAAACAUAAAGCUCGCACAUAAGAUCAUAUGUAAGAUAGGUGCUUAAAACUCCUUAACUUGAAUUCUCAUAACUCCGCCCUUAACUUGCGAAACAACAUAACUUACUAACAAGACUUAAGAAAAUUCUUAAACUUUUAAUUAGAAUUAGAAUACAUGCCCCUAAGAAAUCUUGGCCCAAGAACUUAAAUAGAAUUUAGGCACAAACCAAAUUAAUUUCAACCCAAGUUCCCUCCCAAAUUAAUUCCAUCCGGCAUAUCUUCAAUUUCCUAUUCUCCGGCCCAACAAAUGAAAACUCCUUGGCCCAAUUCUCUUCAAAUGGGGCAGCCCAUUUCGGGGCAAACAAAAAAAAACAAUCCAACUUAUUAAAUUCCAGCCCAGCUCUUGGAUUAAAAUAAAAUGGGGCACACUCCUUAGUUAAUUCCUUUAGCCCAAACUUAUCACAAUAAAAACUCUUGGCCCCAAUUCGAAAGCCCAAUCUAAUUGUUGGUGGCCCAAUGAUUUCUCCUUUACUAAUUCCAUGUAUCUUCCUCCCUCUCUCUUCUCAACUUAAAUCAAAAUCCCCAAAAUUACUCAAUUUCUCUCCCCCUUUUCUCUCUCUCUUUGCGUGAAUUCGCAGAAUGGUAUUUAAAUCCCCAACUUCUCUCUACACUCGCCGCCAAUUGCUUCCCCUCUCACCGCCUGCCUCCUCCGUCGAGGGAGCUCCUGACCGAGCUGCUGCUGCCCCGUCUGUCGGGUUCGGGUUUGAGCAGCCCCUUCUCGGCCUCUUAAAGCUAAGUUCUUUAAUUCUCAUUGCUUAGACUACUUUGUUGAGUCCUUGAGGCAGUAAGUGUGAGGUGUGACUAUUUGGUGUUGGGAGAGGCUUACUGCUUGGUUUUGAACUCUUGAAAGCUCAUUGGGAUGUACUCACUUUCUUGUCUAAGUUUACUCAAGCUUGGUUUAGUUAAGAUCUCUCUCUAUUUGAUACUUAAUACAGACUUGCUACUGCCCUGAGACUUUUACAGCUAUGAUUCUAUGUUCUUGAGCCAAGUAUGAUGUCUGAAAUAAUGCAGAGAGGGUGCUAGUCUAUUACCUCAUUCUCGAUGACUCAUUCGAUCGCCGGACUGCCCUUAAGCUCGUCGCCACUCCUUCCUCUCUUGUUGCAUUUCUUGUGUUUGUGAAUAGGUGUGAGGAAGGAGGUGGUGGUGGGCUGGUAUUUAUAGUCAAACUCCUUGGCAUUUUGUGGCUAAUUUGGAAUAAAGAUUCCUUCACUUUUGAAUUUUAAGCUAAAAGCUUCUAUGCCUAAAUUGGUAAAAUUCUUGGGGAUGGUGUAUCUAUAUGAUCUUGGUUUUGCCAAUGUUAUUAAAAAGCGGCCAUGGCGCCGCCGUGGCGCCAUUGCGUGGCGGGUUUCGGAAAAAACGCCAUCGCCACGAGCUGCCACAAAACUUUUUUAUGGCGACCGCCAUUUGCCGCCAUGAGUGAGGCGCCAUGGCGGUGCCAUGGCAGUUAUGGCGUCACUUUUGGUUGGGCUGCCCCAAACCUCAGCCCAAUUACCAAAUAACACGGCCCAAAUGAUUUUUAACCCUUAACCCGGCCCAAACCCGGCCCAAAUAAUGAAAUAAAAUGCCAAUUAAGUCAAAAUCUAGGGUUUUUUUCAUAGUAUCUCUUUCCCUCUCAAACAAACCCAACCUACUGCGCCCCCAGUCCCACUGCCCUAUUCACGUCGCCGCCGCCUGCUGGUCCGCCGACCGCCGCCGCCGGUCCGUCUAGAGCAGCCCACUGCCCAGAUUUUUAAGAUAAUCGAAAUUGUACCAGAUUUUCUAAUUUGCAUGCCCUUUUAAUUAUCAAUUUUCUAAUUUGCAUGCCAUUUUAAUUAGGAAUUAGGGUCAGAUUUUUAAUUAGGAUCAGAUUUUUAUAAUUAGGGUCACAUUUUUAAUUAAGGUGUAGCUGUGCAGAUUUUUAAUUAGGAUCAUAUUUUUAAUUAAGGUGUAGUUGUGCAGAUUUUUAUCAUACUUCUAUGUUGGGGAUGGUGAUGAUUGAGGAUGGUUUUAAUUUAGAUUUGAUAUGUAUUAUGAAUUUGUGAUGAUGACUUUAUAUUUUGAUGGUUGAACUAAGACUUAUUAUGGUAGGCAUAUUAUAUAAUUGCUUAUGACUUUAUGCUUUAUUUAUUGUUUUAAUAGUUGAUAACUUGAUAUAUUACAAUUUUUUAUUAUUUUCUAAUUUUUUUAAUUUAUAUAUACAUAUAUUACUAAUAUUUUAUUAAUUUAUUUAUCGACCGCCAUAUCCCGCCAUACUGAUACGCCAUAUCCCUGUGGCGGUUUUUGGGCUCACCGCUGUAAGCCGCCAUACGCCAUCCAUAACAUUGCCGUUUUGCAGAUUGUCCCCUUUUGGGGCUCUCCAAUGAGCUCAUGUAGAAUCGACGGAAUGGGAAAGGAGAGAAAAAGGAAGAUUUUGACCAAAUCACCUCUUUUGCUCAUUACUACUAGUAGUAUAUUCUAAAUCUUGAACUUUGGACUUUUUGUAAAGAACUGGCUGUAUAAUCUUUGUGUGAAAGAUGUAGGAGGUCUAUUGCAUGUGUUUAGGCAUGUCACUCUUUUUGAUUUUCUUGGAAUUUCUAUUUUCCAACAAUUGUAGUUCAUAAAAAUUUAAAUUCCUUUCACUUUAAUUCCAAGUGUUUCUUCGUUCAAUUUUUUUUAUACUUCAAAAUCCAUGCACGAAAACUCGGGGUGUUAUGGACAACUUUAUCUUUACACUUCACAGAAUAGAAGAAAAACACACUCCUAUAUAUCUCAAACCUCUUUUGACGAUCACACAUACUAAAAAUCAAGCCUAAAAUUAAUGGAUAUAUCGUCAUUCUCCCAUCUCAACCUCCUUAUAACCUCAUUCUUACUACUUCAAUGUCUAAUUGAUUAUAGCUCAGCCAACUCAGAUAUCAACACUGAUCGUUCUUCACUCAUUGUCUUUAAAUCUCGAAUCUCUUUCGACCCCUAUAAUAUAUUGACCAAAAAUUGGAGCGACGAUAGCAAUAUUUUUAGUUGGAUCGGAGUCACUUGUGAUUCUCGGUAUCACAGGGUGACUUGGUUGAAUGUAUCAUCUAUGGAUCUUGUAGGCACCAUUCCACCCGAAAUCACAAAGCUUUCUCAUCUUGUUUCUUUAGAUGUGAGUGAAAACUCUUUUCAUGGUCCUAUUCCCACGUCUAUUUUCAAUAUGUCAAAUUUACAAGUUUUGGAUUUGAGGAAUAAUAGUUUGUCUAGUAAACUACCGUUUGAUAUGUGCAAACACAAUCUGCAUGAACUCAAGAGACUUCGUAUUUCUUACAACGAGUUGUAUGGGGAAAUACCAUCGAGUUUGGAGGGAUGUUCGCAGCUUGAGUAUCUUUCUUUGCUUCGCAGCUUGAGUAUCUUUCUUUGUACAGCAACAACUUCAGUGGACAUGUGCCAUCACAGAUUGGGAACUUGACAUUGCUUCAACAAUUAAGCUUGGGAGCCAACAAUUUGACUGGUAAUAUUCCAAGAGAAAUUGCAAACUUGACAAUGCUUCAAUUAUUGAACUUUGGUGACAACAGGUUAAGUGGUCUUCCAAACGUUACUCGUUCUUAAGGCAUCCACAUCGAUUGUCCUCUAACUGUUCAUAUGCCCCACGCCACUGUUUACCAUAUUCCUUAUUUAAGGGACAACACCGGCAACCAUGGGCGGUCCCAAGUAUAUUGGGGGAGGGGCUUAAGCCCUCAAUGUAUUUGUUUUUAAACUUUUUUUCAAUGAAUUGUUUUUAACAUUUAUUAAAUUUUAGUGUCAAUUAUAAUGUAAAAGCCCCUAUAAAUUAUC